CAUUUACUGGGUAUAAGGACAAACAAUAAAGCUAGCCAUUGAGCAGGUCAGGGCCCUUUGCUCAAUUCAUUGACAGCAGCUUUAAAAUUAAAGUCGUUCUAAUUAAUUAGAGCACUGGAUUCCGAACUGUCGACAUCUGAUGUAUGCAUAGAUCGUAGCUGGGGCGUCACUGACCCAGCGUGCAUGCAGAGUACACAAUGAGAGGGAGAAAGGGAGAGGGCGGAGGCAGACGGGUGAGAGAGGGGAGAACAAGAACGACUCUUUGUAAUUUGGCGUUGAUAUGCCGCACAGUUUGUGUUGGAAAUUAAUAAGCAGAAAAAGGCAAGCCAAGCGACGGCAACGGCGACGGCGACGGCGACAAUGCUGAUGAUGAACAUCAUCAUAAUGAUCCUAAUGAUGAUGAUGAUGAUCAUGUGGCAGGCAGAGAACAAGUCCGGGGACAAACAAGUUUUCCAGUUUUUCCAAUUUUCAUGCACUAAACGCAAUCAGUGCUCAUGAUCUGUACAUUAGCGUCGUGUGCUGAUCACGCAGAUUGCUCACAUGGACACGUAAAGAGAGAGGGAGAGAGAGAGAGAGAGAGGAGAGAGAGGGAAAGAGCAAGAAAAACGAAAUGAAACGCUUUCGAAAUGUAAAGCGCAGUGAGCGUAAUUAAUCAAAAAACUUGGAGGAGAAAAAAAAAACAACUAGAGCUUAAGUUUCACUCGGAGCAGCAGAACAACAAGAGGCAUUGUGCCGAGGCAGAGGCAGAGCGAGCGAGCCGAUAAAUAAUCAUUUAGCAUUAAUUUCAAAUAGUGCAUUAUGUCACAAGCGCGAGUGCAAUGCCAGGCUUAUUUCAAAUGAAAGCGAAAGUAUGUCAGCCCAGAGAAAGAGAAGCAGAGAGACAGAGUGAGCCAGGGAGAUGGGGAGGGGGGAGCAGCUUGUCUGACAACUGAAGCGUGAAAGAUUCUGUAAAGCUCGCAUCUCACAACUGAUAAAUACAAAAGGCAUUGGCAUUGUGGCUGCACUUAACGCGCAUGCGUGCCUCACUGCCUGGCCUGACUUGAUGAGCGGAUCGAAGAGCCAGCGAGGGGGCACUGAGAGGGGGGGGCCAUCGUGAGGCAGUCCGCAACACACAGCUUUCCAGUCCAGUGGCUCAAAGUGAAAUGGAAAGGCCGCUGUAGACGCGACGAAAUGACAAAAAAA